UACGUAGGGUGCGAGCGUUGUCCGGAAUUAUUGGGCGUAAAGAGCUCGUAGGCGGCUUGUCGCGUCGGAUGUGAAAGCCCGGGGCUUAACUCCGGGUCUGCAUUCGAUACGGGCAGGCUAGAGUUCGGUAGGGGAGAUCGGAAUUCCUGGUGUAGCGGUGAAAUGCGCAGAUAUCAGGAGGAACACCGGUGGCGAAGGCGGAUCUCUGGGCCGAUACUGACGCUGAUGAGCGAAAGCGUGGGGAGCGAACAGG
rnacentral:rRNA from 1 species